CAGUCGCCGCGGUAAUACGUAGGUGGCAAGCGUUGUCCGGAAUUAUUGGGCGUAAAGGGCUCGCAGGCGGUUUCUUAAGUCUGAUGUGAAAGCCCCCGGCUCAACCGGGGAGGGUCAUUGGAAACUGGGAAACUUGAGUGCAGAAGAGGAGAGUGGAAUUCCACGUGUAACGGUGAAAUGCGUAGAGAUGUGGAGGAACACCAGUGGCGAAGGCGACUCUCUGGUCUGUAACUGACGCUGAGGAGCGAAAGCGUGGGGAGCGAACAGGAUUAGAUACCCCCGUAGUCCCUGUCUCUUAUAC
rnacentral:rRNA from 1 species